UCAGAGGGUCGGGCAGUCGCGAGCAAUUUGCUCGAGGAAAGUCCGGACUCCAAUAGAGCAGGAUGCCGGGUAACACCCGGCGAAGCUAUUUUCGAAUGGCUUUAGGGAAAGUGCCACAGAAAGCAAACCGCCUCGCCAGUUUCGUGCUGUUGAGGUAAGGGUGAAAGGGUGCGGUAAGAGCGCACCGCUGCAAUUGGUAACAAUGCGGGCACGGCAAACCCCAUCCGGAGCAAGACCAAAUAGGAGCAGCACAUGGCGGGCUUUAUCGUCGCUGUUCGGGUAGGUCGCACGAGAUAUCGAGUAAUCGGUAUCCUAGAUGAAUGGCUGCCCCUCUUUAAGAGGACAGAAUCCGGCUUAUAGACCCUCUGAUAAU
rnacentral:RNase_P_RNA from 2 species